rnacentral:rRNA from 1 species
GAUGAACGCUGGCGGCGUGCCUAAUACAUGCAAGUCGAGCGAAUGGAUUAAGAGCUUGCUCUUAUGAAGUUAGCGGCGGACGGGUGAGUAACACGUGGGUAACCUGCCCAUAAGACUGGGAUAACUCCGGGAAACCGGGGCUAAUACCGGAUAACAUUUUGAACCGCAUGGUUCGAAAUUGAAAGGCGGCUUCGGCUGUCACUUAUGGAUGGACCCGCGUCGCAUUAGCUAGUUGGUGAGGUAACGGCUAACCAAGGCAACGAUGCGUAGCCGGCCUGAGAGGGUGAUCGGCCACACUGGGACUGAGACACGGCCCAGACUCCUCCGGGAGGCAGCAGUAGGGAAUCUUCCGCAAUGGACGAAAGUCUGACGGAGCAACGCCGCGUGAGUGAUGAAGGCUUUCGGGUCGUAAAACUCUGUUGUUAGGGAAGAACAAGUGCUAGUUGAAUAAGCUGGCACCUUGACGGUACCUAACCAGAAAGCCACGGCUAACUACGUGCCAGCCGCCGCCGUAA